AGGUGACUGUUGUCUUCUGACUCCAUCUUUAGGGUUUAGUUAGAUUAAAUAUUUAACCAGUUAAUUUAAGAAUGAAAGACACAUUUAUCACAAAGGCACUCUUAUAAUGUAGAUUAAAUGUGUGUUGACAUAACAUCUAGAUGUAUGAUUAGAAAGAGAGAAAUGUUGUAAUGACAUGAACAAAGUGCAGUAUUCCAAGAUGGCAUCAGAGUUUUAACACCUUUUAUACUCAUGUUUUUAUAAUUAUGUUAAGUGUAAAAGCUCAAAGAUAAUGACAUAGAUGCAUCUGUUUCUGUUAUUAUCACAAUAAUCACAACAUAAAAUGAUUAUUGUGACAUUUUUUCUGUGCUGUAUUAAGGUUACCAGAGUCAGCUGGGGAUUCAUGAACGUCAUCAGUGAUGUUUCUCCACAGCGGGCUCAUCAGUACCUGGUGACAGAAGGUCAAUCCAGCUCUGACUUGAGGCUGUUCAAGAAUCAGCUCCACUUGAUCUGGUUCCACCUCUACCACAGGCAGAGAAACACAGGCCUGGACUCUUUGUUGGCCAGACAAAAUCAGAAACGGAAAUCAUUGGUUUUCACAACUGGGUCCAGUUCCACCUGCAAAGGAUAUGAGGCCAGGGAGCAUGAUUUGAUUACAGGAAGUCUCUGGCUGUGUUGCUGAAUCUGCCGAUGCAAGAUCAGACAUGGAUGGAUGAGGUGCUGCAACUUAGACCUGCCG